UCGAGGAUCUUUGGCAAUGGGCGCAAGCCUGACCAAGCGACGCCGCGUGCGCGAUGAAGGCCUUCGGGUUGUAAAGCGCUGUCGAGGGGGAGGAAGCCGCAAGGUUGACCGAUCCCUGGAGGAAGCACGGGCUAAGUUCGUGCCAGCAGCCGCGGUAAGACGAACCGUGCGAACGUUGUUCGGAAUCACUGGGCUUAAAGGGCGCGUAGGCGGGCGAUCAAGUCUGUGGUGAAAUCCUUCGGCUCAACCGAAGAACUGCCGUGGAUACUGGUCGUCUGGAGGGAGGUAGGGGCAGCGGGAACUUCCGGUGGAGCGGUGAAAUGCGUAGAGAUCGGAAGGAACGCCGGUGGCGAAAGCGCGCUGCUGGACCUCUUCUGACGCUGAGGCGCGAAAGCUAGGGGAGCAAACGG
rnacentral:rRNA from 1 species